rnacentral:rRNA from 1 species
GGGUUAGGUGGCGGACGGGUGAGUAACGCGUGGAUAACCUGCCGUAUACAGGGGGAUAACACUUAGAAAUAGGUGCUAAUACCGCAUAAGCGCACGGUUCCGCAUGGAACAGUGUGAAAAACUCCGGUGGUAUACGAUGGAUCCGCGUCUGAUUAGCCAGUUGGCGGGGUAACGGCCCACCAAAGCGACGAUCAGUAGCCGGCCUGAGAGGGUGAACGGCCACAUUGGGACUGAGACACGGCCCAAACUCCUACGGAAGGCAGCAG